GUUAGCGACGACAUGGCUUCAUUCGGUCCGACACUGAAUCUCUGUCGUCGACGCCAGUCCUUGACAUUUGCUUUGCACUCUGUUUUCACUUCGGCAAAUUUAGAAGUUGAUGCAUGCUGCCUUAAUGUCUUGGCUUUUGUUUAUGUUUGUGCUUGUUGGAUAUCACCCCAUGUGAGGGGUGAUCUUCUUUCUCUUCUGCCCAUGUGAAACCAAGUGGGAGCUUGGAUAAAGAAGUCAGGAAUGGUGGUACCGAACACGGGAGCGCUGAAUCUGAUACAGUAAAUCUAGAGUGAUUUGCGGGAUAGUGCUGGCCAAUUUCUUCUCUCCUCGGUGUAUAAAUAGAGGAAGAGAGAGCAAAGAAAGAUGUGAGAAAACCAGUGGGAAAAUGUAGAGAGAAAACUGAGAGUCCCUUAGUGGCAGAGAGGGAGCUCCCUCAGUGAGAGAGGGUGAAGUUGAGUGAGAGAGUCUCCUCCUCCGUUAUGUAAAUCUCUUUGUAUUUCAUCUCCAUUCAUAUAGUGUAAAUGGUUUUCUCUCGUGGACGUAGGCAUUGAGCCGAACUACGUUAAAUAUUGUCUCCUUUUGUGUGUGUUGUUUUUCUACUUGGUAUAAUAUCUGGAAGGUCUUGGGCGGGAUCUCGGAUCCCCAACCAUGUGUGUUUUUUUUUUCUUCUUUUUGAUUCACCUUUUAGACAAUUUUGCUGAUCAUCUAGGGUCUAGUUAUAUAGAGUUUGGUUUGAUAUUUUUAAUCGUGAUUUUUGGUCCUGUUGACUUGAUUUUUGGCCCCAUUUGGUCAUGAAGGGAUAAAAGAGGAGUUUGAAGACCAUGAAUCUAGUGUUUGAUAGAAGUGCUGAGAGUUUUGUGGAGCUACUCUCUUUGAAUGUUCACUUUCUCUAUUUUUGUUUUAUUUGAUGGCUGGAAAUCUGAAUAUAAACAUGUGCUUUGUUAGUUACUGUAAAAGUUUAUAUUGUGAUACUUUAUGGUCCAUUUACAUUGUGAACUUGAUUGCAGCCCCAAAUGCAUUCAUAUUACUUUCC